rnacentral:lncRNA from 1 species
GUACCUUUGCGCCGGGGCGGUGUUCUAACUAUGAGGGUAACUGCACUUCCGGUAACUCAGCGACUGAACCCUACAUUGCGGCACACCAUUUGCUUCUUGCUCAUUCAGCUGCUGUCAAGAUAUACAAGGACAAAUAUCAAGUACUGUAACCCUAGCUGCAUUCGUUAUAUAUUUGAAUAUUACGAUGAAUACGUGAAUAUAGAUAUAUAACUUGAAUUAACGAACUAAUGUGAAUAUAUGUAAGCAGGCUACCCAAAAGGGACAGAUCGGGAUUACCAUAGUGACUCACUGGUGGAAACCUAAGUUCCCAGAACAGCUGGCUAGCCGAAGAGCCACUCUUAGAUCACUCGACUUUAUGUUUGGAUGGUGAGGCUAGCUGCUUAAAUAUUAAGACGUAAUUCUUCUGUAAAACUUCAUGUGUUGAUUUUGUAUGAAUUUUCAAUAUCUUGUAGGUUUGCCAAUCCUAUAUUUCAUGGGGAUUAUCCGGCGGUCAUGAAAUCUUUGGUCGGGGAUCGAUUGCCGAAAUUUACAGAAGCUGAGUCGAAGCAGAUAAAAGGCUCCCUCGAUUUUCUUGGGUUGAAUUACUACACAGCAUAUUACACAGUUGAUGAACCAGCUUUAUCCAACGCUGUCAACCAUAGUUGGAGUGCAGACAGACAAGUCGGUGCUUCUACUAGUAUGCAUCCAUCAAUCAUUAAUCCCCACACGUACCAUAUAUAAUAACUAAGUUCAACUGCUAUUCGAUUCUAACACAUCUAAAUCUAUUUUGUUGUCACAGCUGAUAAAAAUGGGGCUCUUAUUGGUGCAGCGGUAUGUACUAAUUCAUUCUCUCUAGCUCUAUGGUAUACGUUCAAGUUAUUCAUUUAGAUACUGAUGUUUACAAUUAUGUGGUAAACAUGCAGACUGAUCUGGAUUGGCUUUUCGUUUAUCCGAAAGGGAUCAGAGAGGUUCUUUUGUAUAUAAAGGAGAAGUACAAUAACCCAAACAUUUAUAUUACUGAGAAUGGUAAAACGAUCGAUUCUCUUAUAUAUAACCAUAUAUUACAUGAUUAAUUUUAGUAUUUUAUGCAUGCUAAGAUUGUAUAUAAUUUUGCAGGAUAUGCAUACGGAUAUAAUGCCUCAACACCAAUUCAAGAAGCUCGUAAGGAUAAUUUGAGGAUAAGAUACCAUCACGACCAUUUGUGGUAUCUUUUGAAGGCUAUUAAGUGAGUCACACUCGUUCAUGUAGUGCAUGGUUUUUGGUAUAAUUUAUAAUUAGAGAUUGAGUUAAUAAUUAUUCGAUUAAUUGUUAUUGAUUGAAUAUUUCAGGGAUGGGGUAAAAGUGAAGGGAUACUACGCAUGGUCAUUUUGGGAUGACUUCGAAUGGGAUGCUGGUUACACAGUUGGGUUUGGCCUAACAUUAGUUGAUGUCAAGGAUAAUCUGAAAAGAUACCUCAAGUAUUCUGCCUAUUGGUACAAGAUGUUCCUCCUGCACUGAUAUGCUGGCUUAUGGAUUGAUCCAUCACCUAGCCUGCGGAUCAUACCUCUCUAUCUACUCCAAAUAAAUUGAGCAAUAAUUUCCCAAUAAUUUCCUUAUGUAUGUCAUCUACCUAGCUAUAUGUAUGUAUCUUCAGCUAGCUCUCAUCAAUAAGAACUAUUGGUCCGCUUUAAUUGUGUUUUUCUGGUAGAGAGUUUCAAUUUAUGCACAUACUUAAGUGGGAACUACCAUAUAGUUAAAUUAUCAAUUCAAAUAGCUAGUUUUGUUUACUGUAUCAUUAUGUAAGUAAUGAAAUUAUAUACAUACUGAAGAAACGACAAACCAGCAACCAUCAAGUUUCGUGACAGGAACCAGAUCCGGAUCUGGAGCUCGAGAAGCCGCGAUCUUGCAUUCACGGCGUUGGCCAAAACCUUCGAUCCGCCAACUCCAGUUCGACCAUCGACCCUCUGCCGCGCAAGACCUCCUUUGCUCCACCCCCAUCUAUCCUCCCGCCGCGCCUUCGCCUCCGAUGCAGCAGCCGAAAAAUCGCUUCGGUUGAGAACCCGAUCUGCUCAAAACCCAUAAUCGAGCCACAAACAUAACCCAUGAAUCGUCUUCCCGUCCGGCCGCCCUCCACGUGCAUCGGCUCGGCCAUCGACCGCUACCGGUGCCGCGGCGCAACCGGACGAGAUAAAGAGGAGAAGGUGUUUUCAGAAAGUUUUAGAGAGGCGCGCGUGUGAGGCGCGUUCUAGAUCCCCUAUCCUCAUCCUUUGAUAAAGCUGACUCGAAAGAGAUGUUACGACUGAAAAAUAAACUACUUUUUAUGAAAAUUGAAUUCGAC